GACCAUUCUGGGAUUCUCUGCUGCUUUUACGGCAGGAAAGUUGGAUUUUGUAAAAAUCAGCAAAAAUCCGUCAGGAAUUUAUAAAUCCUGACACUCAGUAAUUUUCACACAAUGGCAAAUCCACCCCCAACAGCAGAAAAUGGGGAAAAAUGGAAUCAGUGGGAACAGAAUAUUGAAUUUUGAGGAUAAGCCUUGUUUAGACGAUGGAUAACGUCCCAUUUCCCAGGGUAUGGAUGGGAUACAGCAUUGAAACCCAUCCAUAAAUCCCUCCCUAAACAUAAAUGUGAGUGUUUAUCAGCAGUGAAAACCCUGGAAAAAUCCCCGCCGGUUUCCAAGUUAAUGCCAAUUUAAAGGGAAAACCACAUCUGGAAUGUCGGCAAAUAUCUACAAAUUAAUACUGAAAUCUGAGAAACCUCUGGGAAACCUGGCAGUGCAAAUAAACUGGGAAUUCUUGGACUUUGUGUUUUGAGUUUUGGGUUUUUCAGCAGGAAUUCCAUCACUUUUCCACAUGCUUUCCAUGGAUCAUCUGCUGCUUCCUAAACCCAGAGACUGGAAAAUUUCCACAAGUUCAGGGGCCUCACUCAGGCUCUCAACAACACUUUUGGGAACUUUAUAGGAUAUUUAGAUCCUGGGAAAUCAUCCUGGGAAGCAGAAUCCAUAGAUUUGGCAGAGCAAGGUGAUAUUAGAACAUAAAACUGCUGACAGGGAUCUGAAAGUUCCUGCUGCUCCUCCCGCCUUGCAUUGCACUGUUCUUGGCAAUUUCUGGGAAUUUUGGGAACUGCUCUGAGUCCUGACUGAUCUGCUAAGCUGGGAAAUUCCCUGCCUGGAAUAGAAAUCGAAGGAAUUUAUUUGUCUUUUCUGGAUUUGCUACAUCAAAAUCAGCUCUGUGCAGAUAUUUAUCUGUAGCAAAUCAGGGAAUUUAAUUGGAAUGUUAAUGACUCUGGAAUCAGAGAAUCUUGAAUUCUACAGGAGCUUCUGGAAGCAUUUUCAAGAAGGGCAAGACCUGAUGGCAAAAGGGUCAAUGCAGAAAAGGUGGUGCACAAAAUAUCCUGGGAAACGUUCCGGAGACAAAUGGAAAAAGGGGCACGAGCCAGUGCAGAUCCAGACAAAUCCCAAGCAGGGCCUGGAGAGUUCCAUCCCCAUGGAACACUGAGGUCCCACAGGAUGGAGAUCCUGGUGAGUCUUUGGGAUGGUCCUUGGACACCGUUUGGAGCUGGAAGUUGGGAAGCAGCUGAGACAUCCCAGGACAGCAGGAGGCACAAAACACCGAUCAGUUCUGGAAUUCCCAAACUGAUGGAUGGUGGGAAUGGAGGAUAACGAGUCUCUGUUCUAAAGCAGGAAUCUUGGAGGUACAAAUAAAUCAAAUUAAAAAGAAUCCCUUGGAAAGCCACAAGCCAUGGAAACCACUGGGUGACAUUUCAGAAAUUCCAAGGAAAACAGAUUUUGCUCUUGGAUCCAGGAACCUUCUCAGUUUAAACCUGGCAGAGCCGAACUUAAACCUGAAACCACAAGUGUAAAACCAGGAGCUGGGCUCCAAAUCUGAUGGAAAACUGCAGCUUCCAUCUGGGAUCUGAGCGAAUUUAGGGAUUGCAAAAACCUGGAUUAGAGACAUUUCACCAGCCAAAAUCCUGGGAAUUUCUGGACAUUCCUUGGAUGUUGCAAUCUCCGUGUAUCCAACACCAUUUAAUAAUUCCCCAUCUUCUAAGGGAGAAAACCCAGUGGAAUAUUAAUGAGGAACUUGGGAUAUUUGGGAUUUGAUGGGUCUUUCCCAGCUGUGGAGGGAAGCACAGCCCAGCUGGUCUGGGCUGGUUUGGGAUGGAGAUCCCGGAGUCUGAGGGAGCCAACAUUCCAAGCUCUGCUCCCAGAUGGAAAAGGCACGGCUCACUCCUCCCGCCUGCUCCCAGCCACGCAAUCCCAUCUCUUUCCUUGCGGUUUGUGUCCAUGAAAUUCCCCCACGAGCCAGGUUAACACACGGAAACAUCCGGAAAUUCAACAAGGGUGGAGGAAAAGGAGGAAACUUCUGUGGAAUUCAUUGUGUUCAAUCAACAGGAGGAACAAGAAGGAUGGGAAGGAUUUCUUGGAUGCAGUGGGAUAAAGGAGUAGCUGGGAUUGGUGCUCCAUGGCCCAGUGGGAUGUUGGCUGAGUCAUUCCUUGUGUGGGCUACGAGGUUCAGCCAACAGCGAGUCCGUGAAUCCAUACCGACAACUUCGGCUCCCAACCAACCUUGGGAAUUCCUGGUUGGAGUUGGAAUUGAACCAGAUGAGAUUUUUUUCCCUGGGAUUCCCAGCUUUGCAGGAAUUUGAUGUCUCGUUUGCAUGACCACAGGGAUGAAGUCGUCACUUGGACACCGGCUCCCGAAACAUGAAGUUUGGCUCAGUGUGUUCGACUUCUACUUUUAGACCUUGUCUCCUCGUCGUUCCCAGCUGGAAUGUCCUAUGGAAUCUUUAAAAGUAGUUUUAAGGGGAAAGAAAAGGAUUCUGUCAAAUGGCAAUGAAAGGAGUAAGAAAAAUUUGGAAUUCCACCAAAAGCAUGGGAAUUAUCACCCAUUCUUUGACAAAACAUAAAAAAGAUGGGAAGCCAUUAAAAUCCUGGAUAAGCCCAGAAGUGAAGGAAUGUUUGCCAGGCUGCAGGAGUGUUGGAGGUGUUUCUUCACACCCUGGCCACAGAAUACCGGGGUAUUUUUGGGAUAUUUGUGUGACUUACACCCCCAUUUCCCAGGAAGGAUAUUCCCGGUGUUGGCAGAGCAAUGGAUGAAAUAAAGUCCUUGGAAUUUCAGCCCCACCUGUUGGACUGCCCCCCAGGAGGAGCUGCCAAGGCCUUCCCAGCAGGGUGACUAAUCCAUGCUGGGAACAUCAGGGAGCUUUCCAGGCCUUGUUUGGGAGUUGCAGGAGCGUUGUUGGUGUCUUAUGCAUUUCCUGGUUGCUCCAAGUUUUUUUGUAUUCCUUAAUAAAACUUCCACACGUCACCGCAGCAGCUAAAAGUUAUCCCGGCCUUUUCCCCAUGGAUUGAGGUUUUCUACCUCGUCGCAUCAUCGCUUUCCAAUUGCGGAGUUUGUUGUUUCCAGACGGACAGGGAGGUGGGAAUGACACACACCCGGACACGCCAAGCACAGAGAACUCGGGCUUUUGUGGCCUUUUAAAUGAUUUUCAUUUUGGACGACUUCGGGAUUUUCAAUUAUCCUCUCUCCAGAGCCAUAAAAAAGAUCCACGUGCUUGGUUUUCUGGGAUAUUCCUGGAGCCUGCUGGUCUUCCCUUCGUGCUCUGCUCAGCUUCUCCCGAGCACUGGAACUGUGUGGUCCAAGGUUUACAGGAGAAAAUACAGGAGAAGCUUUUCUUUGGCGCUGAGCUGAUAUCCACAGAUCUAAAUCAAGGAUUUGAAGAUCCAAAGGCAAUUCCAUUGGAAUUUGGGCCAUUGAGGAACUGAUCUAUUGGAUCUGGAUGAUGAGCAGGGACGCCUCCCACUGUCCCAGGCUGCUCCCAGCCCCAGUGUCCAGCCUGGCCUUGGGCACUGCCAGGGAUCCAGG